UACGGGGGAUGCAAGCGUUAUCCGGAAUUAUUGGGCGUAAAGCGCCUGUAGGUUGUUUAAUAAGUCUGUUGUUAAAGACUAGGGCUUAACCCUAGAAAAGCAAUGGAAACUACUAGACUAGAGUAUGGCAGGGGUAGAGGGAAUUUCUAGUGUAGCGGUGAAAUGCGUAGAUAUUAGAAAGAACACCGGUGGCGAAAGCGCUCUACUGGACCAUUACUGACACUCAGAGGCGAAAGCUAGGGUAGCAAAAGGGAUUAGAUACCCCUGUAGUCCUAGCCGUAAACGAUGGAUACUAGAUGUUGUGCAUAACGUACAGUGUCGUAGCUAACGCGUUAAGUAUCCCGCCUGGGGAGUACGUUCGCAAGGAUG
rnacentral:rRNA from 1 species